rnacentral:lncRNA from 1 species
AAUUGAUAGAAUUGAUAAAGUUAUCUUAUUGAAUUCUUCAUCAGGAUUGAUAUUUAUUCUUGUUUUUAGAGUAAUUAACUAAAAUUUUGAUCUUAGAAUAGUGGGUAGAUGCGACAAUGUGAGUGAUUACAUGAAUUGAAUCAUGCUGAGCUAAAUACUUAUUCUAAACGACAUUUGGUCUAGAAAUUUAGUGAACAAAUUGAAUAUAGAAUUAAAGCUUGUCUCAAUUGUUUGAAUUCUCGACAAGGGUUGAUAUUCUAGGAUCUAGACAUAUAUAUAUAUAUAGUUUCUGCAGCGAGAGAUGAUUGACUUUAUAAGUUGUGAUUUGAGUUCUAGAAUCGUUCAUAGAAUUUUUUUAACAUCUAUUGAUUGUAGUUCUGAAUUUACCUGAUUGAUUUUCUAGAAUCUAGCGCUUUUCCGUUCUGUCUUACAACCGAUCAACUUAUUGUAUUGCUUUCUACUGUUUAUCUAGCUUAAUCUCAAAUUUUUUUAUUUUAUUGUGAGAUCUUAGUUUUUAUGGAUUUGAUA